AUCUGUUGUAGUUUUUAAUUUUGGUCAUUUCCUCAGAAAAUCCCAUUCCACAUAAAUCAAUACACUUCAUUUUGUGAUGACAGAAAUAUAUUGUGUUUUUACUGUUAUAUUAAUUCAUAUAAAAUAAAAAUAAGCAUAUACAACAGCGUUAGAUCUAUUAAAUAAAAUAUAAAUGCUUAUCAAUAAAACACCAAACAACAUUGCAAUACAUUUAUCACUUACAGCUAUUUUGCAAAUGCAUGUAGUUUCAAGGUUUGGUUGGCUUGCUUGUUUUGUUUUGACGACUAUUUGCUCAAGCAUUUCAAUUAAGUUUUACAAUAGCAAUCAAUUGAAAGGUUGUGCACUUUUAUAAUGCUUAGAUGUUGAGCAACAUUAUACAAACAAUGCAAGCAAGCCAACCAAACCUUCAAUCUUCAUGCAUUAGGAAAAUAGCUGUAGCUAUUAUCUUAUAUUUUCCAUUCUUUACAUAUUACCUACAAAAUGCAGUAGUGGAUUCAUAAUUAUUCGUGGGGCACCAAUUUCAUGGUUUUCAUUGAUAUACAUUUGUAUACAUAUAUAGGUUAGAAACAAAUUUAAGUGUUUAAUGAAUUACAUUUUUUUCUAUGGUUCUAUAU
rnacentral:lncRNA from 1 species